rnacentral:rRNA from 1 species
CGCCUGUUUAUCAAAAACAUGUCUUUUUGUUAAUUAUUUAAGGUUUGGCCUGCUCCAUGAUGAAUUAAAUAGCCGCAGUAUUUUGACUGUGCAAAGGUAGCAUAAUCAUUAGUUUUUUAAUUGAAAGCUGGAAUGAAGGGUCGGAUGAGGAAGUUUCUGUCUCAUUCUAAUUUGUUUGAAUUUUAUUUUUAAGUUAAAAAGCUUAAAUUUUAUAGAAAGACGAGAAGACCCUAUAGAGUUUAAUAGAUUCGAUUUCUAGGCAUUUAAGGGUUUUAAUUUGUCUGGUGUUUAAUUUAUUUUGUUGGGGUGACAUUAGAAUUGGGUUAACUUCUGUUUGUUUUAACACUGAUUGGUGAUUAAUUGAUCCUGGGAUCUGGAUUAAAAGAACAAAUUACCUUAGGGAUAACAGCGUAAUUUUUUUGGAGAGUUCUUAUCGAUAAAAGGGAUUGCGACCUCGAUGUUGGAUUAAAGUUAAGUCUUGGUGUAGAAGCUGAGAAUUUA